rnacentral:tRNA from 1 species
UCCAGGGUAGCUCAACCGGCAGAGCGAGUGGCUGUUAACCACUAGGUUGCGAGUUCGAGUCUCGCCCCUGGAGCCA